GACGAACGCUGGCGGCGUGCCUAAUACAUGCAAGUUGAGCGAUGAAGCUUGGUGCUUGCACCAAUUUGAAGAGCAGCGAACGGGUGAGUAACGCGUGGGGAAUCUGCCUUUGAGCGGGGGACAACAUUUGGAAACGAAUGCUAAUACCGCAUAACAACUUUAAACAUAAGUUUUAAGUUUGAAAGAUGCAAUUGCAUCACUCAAAGAUGAUCCCGCGUUGUAUUAGCUAGUUGGUGAGGUAAAGGCUCACCAAGGCGAUGAUACAUAGCCGACCUGAGAGGGUGAUCGGCCACAUUGGGACUGAGACACGGCCCAAACUCCUACGGGAGGCAGCAGUAGGGAAUCUUCGGCAAUGGACGAAAGUCUGACCGAGCAACGCCGCGUGAGUGAAGAAGGUUUUCGGAUCGUAAAACUCUGUUGGUAGAGAAGAACGUUGGUGAGAGUGGAAAGCUCAUCAAGUGACGGUAACUACCCAGAAAGGGACGGCUAACUACGUGC
rnacentral:rRNA from 1 species